AACGAACGCUGGCGGCAUGCCUAACACAUGCAAGUCGAACGAAGGCUUCGGCCUUAGUGGCGCACGGGUGAGUAACGCGUGGGAACCUGCCCUUUGGUACGGAAUAACAUCGGGAAACUGAUGCUAAUACCGUAUAUGGCUUUGGCUGAAAGAUUUAUCGCCGAAGGAGGGGCCCGCGUCUGAUUAGCUAGUUGGUGAGGUAAUGGCUCACCAAGGCGACGAUCAGUAGCUGGUCUGAGAGGAUGAUCAGCCACACUGGGACUGAGACACGGCCCAGACUCCUACGGGAGGCAGCAGUGGGGAAUAUUGCGCAAUGGGCGAAAGCCUGACGCAGCCAUGCCGCGUGUAUGAUGAAGGUCUUAGGAUUGUAAAAUACUUUCACCGGGGAAGAUAAUGACGGUACCCGGAGAAGAAGCCCCGGCUAACUUCGUGCCAGCAGCCGCCGUAAAAC
rnacentral:rRNA from 1 species